rnacentral:lncRNA from 1 species
UGGAGUAAAACUUCGAGGGCUGAAAAGGUUAUAUAUAUACACACGGAAAAAGAAGAAAGCUAUCAACGGCUGUGAUAUAUACAUAUACAUACAACUGCGGCUAAGAGAAAUAUAUACAUGCAAGGCCAACAAUUACUACAGAUUUAGGCAUAGAAUUUGAGGAUAUAUACAUACACGUUGUUGGAGAAAAACAUAGAUAUAUAUACACACGCAGAAGACGGUCGGAAUUUGGAAAACAGAGAUAGCAGAACGGCAGACGAUAGUUCAUCAGCAGUUGGAAUUUGGAAAAUAAAUCAUGUUUUAUCGAUUUUUGGUGAUGUCUUCAAACUUUUAUGUGUUUAAUUUUAACAAUAUGCUAGACUAAUUCUUUUCAUGU